ensembl:snoRNA
GAUCAGUGAUGAAAAUAGCCAAAUCUGAGCAUCAGACCUUUUAGUCUACCUGAUACAUGAUCUCUGUAGUUCUGAGA